CCGUGAUGGUCGGCAGCCGGAGUGCAGCCACUGGCGAUCUCUGAGCCUGGAGUGGAGGGCUUUGAUGAAGACAUCCCAUCUAGGGAAAACUGCUCUAAAAUCUCUCCUCUCUGCCUGCUGUCCAGGUUUGGGUCUCUGUGCCAAUUCCACCCUACUGCAAAUGGAAGCUCUGCUGUGUCUGGAGUGAUGCACUGAUCUGAACCUGUCUGAGCUAUUCUGUUAAAUCCUGCAGAGAGUGUACCACUGAACUCUGCCAGGUCAAGGCCACUGAGAAGCAGGAAAUUGAGGCUUGGCGAUACACUGCUUUGGCAAAUACUGCCCUGCUGUCUUCACUAAGAUCUCUAAGAACAAGCUCCCCAUACUCCUGUGCUUGGCUUUCUCUAGGCAGCCAGAUGAAGAUUGCUUCCUCUUGU